AGUGUUAUAGUUUUGAAGCGCUAUAAAAGCGUUAUUAGAAGCGCGUUUAACACCCUUUAGAAUUUAUAAAGAUCAAAAACCCACAAAAAAAUGAGAAUUAAAAUUGGAGUGAUAAUGGUGGCCACGACUGGACUUGAACCAGCGGCCACUACCA
rnacentral:antisense_RNA from 1 species